UGCACACAUGACUGUUUGUCGCUUUGGAUAAAAGUGUCUGCUAAACGUCAUAUA
rfam:Salmo salar isolate Sally breed double haploid chromosome ssa01, whole genome shotgun sequence.